UCGCCUGCCCCUCGGACAUCAGAAGAGAAAUACAAAGUUAAUGAUUCAUUAGAUUCUAAAAUUAGAUUACCUUGGCUUUUACUGGUUACACUGGGAGGAAGUCCCGGGUUAAAGUUCCUGCAUUUGUGAGGUUGAUCGGCGGCCGAGUCCCUUCCAGUGAAGUCGGCGGCGCUUCGCGGCUUCCCAUCACUGCGAGUCGGAAGACGGAUCACACGGACAUCGCUGCGGCGAGCCUACAGCUCACAAAACCAAACGAAAAAGCUCCUCAGUCUGGGUGACUGAUCUCUGGUCUACACCCCCCAGUGAGGACGAUGGCAGGGCGCAUACAAGCUCCUACCACAGGGCCACCGUACACAUCACUGUUCCUACAAACACCCCUGGCAGCAACAUCAUACAGUGGGGAAGUUUCUCCUACCUUUGGAUUGACAUUGAAAGACACGCUUGUGGUGCUUCAAAGUAAACCUGUUUUGGUCCUCUAAUAGCUAUAAAGUAGGGUUGGGAAUGCAGUGUCUUCAUCAGGACGGUGAAUACAACAACAAACUAAACUAGCUUAUGAAGUAUGUGCUGCAGCCCUUAGAUUCCCAUAACUGACCCCAAGACGUUUGACAGAAAAUGAGCAAAUCUGGCAAGAAAAGUGGACAAAAAAACACAAGAAAUCACACAAACUCAUGCACAAAUCUUUUCAGAAAAAAAAACAUUUAGUCCAAACAC